UUUGGUUUGCUUGCAAACCAAAGCUGGCGACCGGCGCACGGGUGAGUAACACGUAUCCAACCUGCCUCAUACUCGGAGAUAACCUUGCGAAAGUAAGACUAAUACCCAAUGAUAUCUCUAGAAGACAUCUGAAAGAGAUUAAAGAUUUAUCGGUGAUGGAUGGGGAUGCGUCUGAUUAGCUUGUUGGCGGGGUAACGGCCCACCAAGGCGACGAUCGGUAGCCGGACUGAGAGGUUGAACGGCCACAUUGGGACUGAGACACGGCCCAGACUCC
rnacentral:rRNA from 1 species